UACGAAGGGGGCUAGCGUUGCUCGGAAUCACUGGGCGUAAAGCGCACGUAGGCGGCUCUUUAAGUCAGGGGUGAAAUCCUGGAGCUCAACUCCAGAACUGCCUUUGAUACUGAGGGGCUUGAGUCCGGGAGAGGUGAGUGGAACUCCGAGUGUAGAGGUGAAAUUCGUAGAUAUUCGGAAGAACACCAGUGGCGAAGGCGGCUCACUGGCCCGGUACUGACGCUGAUGUGCGAAAGCGUGGGGAGCAAACAGG
rnacentral:rRNA from 1 species